AUGAACACAAAGGCGCGCUCUCUCACAUUUUUCUGAUAUUUAUUCUGCAAAUCAGCUGCAUGAGCCCCUGCCACUCUUCUGAAUAAGCUUCCAGGCAUUACCUGCAUGCUGUGUUCCUGUGGAGGGAUGGCAGUAAUCUCUGCUAAGAUAAACGGGAGCUUCUGUGGAUAAAGCGUAAACGCAGUGAAGUGUGUGUGGCUGUAAGAUUUAAUACCUCUACAGUGCUUAGAUACAAUUUGAGCUUGGAAUUCCAGAGGUAGGGCACUGCUGAUUGGAAGCGUAUUAAGGAAAAUGUACUGUGGAAAUGAGAUAAAACCGUUAUUCUUGCUAUUGAUUGUCAUUCUCGUAUGCGUACAGGUGUCCAACAAAGGGUUUUAGAAUACAGUCUGCCUGUUUAAAGUUUUCCACCUUUCUUAAACCCAGCAAUGAAUUACAAACACCCUGUAUGAACUGGACUGUAUUAAAUCUACUCCUGUCAAAUGGAAACCUU